UAUAGAAUUAGGCUGGAAUACUAUUAAUAGUAAAACGUUUUUUUUUGCUAUCAAGUUUUUAACCCUUGGAUGAAAAAUUGUAAGGUCAGGAUGAUAUUAGUCAGUUAGAGCUGAGUGGUCCCCCUAGGGUUGAGUGGUCUCCACUGGGUUAUAGUAUUUUAUCCAAUGGUUAGAAAUAAUGAAAAAAAGUUGAUCCAAAGGCUAAAAAACUGAUAGCAACAAUGAAAUUUUGCUACUAAUAGUAGCCCAGUCCAACUCUAUAUA
rnacentral:lncRNA from 1 species